AUGUUGGCAGAGACCAUGUUUCUCUCCAGCUGCUCCAGUGGAAAUCAUCACAUUACAAUUUUCCAGUGUAGACUAUGGAGAGAGAGAGACAGAGAUAAGAAAGAGAGGGUUAAGCUGCAUCUGGUUCUUACAGGAAGAAGACAGCAUUUCUGCCGAGCCUCCAUGAAGGGAGAGGGAAGGAUGAAACGAGAAUCUCUAUGUGCUAUGAUUUCCGGGGUUGUCUGUUGUGAAGAACACAGUGUGGUCCAGGUCCCAGUCCCCUCCAUGGUCAACCACCACACACAAGCUGAAGGGGACAUGUUCUGUCACACUAAAAACAUUGCGAACAAGAAGGACCUCAAGUCUGACCCCUGUCGGGCCCCAGUAAAUCUCACAGCACCAAGUUAGAGACACUCCUCUGGGCUUUGUUUUUCCACCAGUCUAUCAUCUCCUCCCAUGCACUCUGGAUUUUAGCAAAACUUUUCAUCUGAGAUUCAUGGUAGGAUUUUUUUUUUACCAUCUGCCGAUGAUCCAGAUAGGUUAUUGCAUAGGAUCCAAUUUGUCAUGUGACUUCUAGGACCAUCCCACUGUCCUGCAUUAAAAUAAAAUUAUUUCCUCUCAUAGAAGAGUCUGUAUUUCCUUCUUGCAUGUGCCUAGUAGCAUUUUCCUUUAUAAACACCAGUCUUGUGGAAUUAUUCCUUCUAGCCUCUUCUUUUCUAGAGAAAGUAUACUUACUUUCUCUAAGCAGGAAACUAGGCAAUUACAAGUUCUA
rnacentral:lncRNA from 1 species